GAACGAUCAUCUGCAGAAUAAUGGAGUAGAGGACAGUGAUGCAGUGUGAGGCUAUUAAUUUGAUCAUCAUGAAGGAGGUAGUCUUACAUUUGUUCUUAAUCUGUUCUCAAACCAUGGGCCUCUCAUUCUAGGCCUGUCGAGGCUCUUCAAAUACAAGAAGACCUGGUGGUGCAGCAGCCAGUGGAUGUUCUGCUGGUCAGCAGUGAUGGUGAAAUAGAGGAUAAUGAAUCCGUCCAGCUCUCACUAAGUGAGUUUAGCAGGCCAGUAUCUGGACUACUGCCAGACGACCUCAGUGUGAGGACGAAGGUCUCCUCAAAGAUGGAUGGCAGGGUACAGGUCUCACUGCUGACAAUACAUACAACAUAUAAGAUGUAUGGUGAUAUCCUACAAACACUCAACGCUUGCAAUAGAAGCAGGGACAUCAAACAGUACAUGAAGAGUCCUUCCUUGUAAGGAAGGAUUCUACAUGCGAAUAGUUCUCUGCGCAACAGCUACGCUACAAAUAAGAUUGCCAGACCAGGAGGAGGACAUUAUGACACCGGUCCACAGCCAGAUCCCUUUUUCUAUCCACAAGACUAACCAAACUAACCUAACUACUCCAUUUACCUACUAAUAAUAACUAAACUGCAAGUACAACUAAAUUAGCAAAACACUAAUCUUCAGUAAUAGAUACAGAAUAAAUGGACACUCAAGAAUAACUAAA